AAUAUUGUACAAUGGGGGCAACCCUGAUCCAGCCAUGCCGCGUGUGUGAAGAAGGUCUUCGGAUUGUCUAGCACUUUAUGUUGGGAGGAAGGGCUUUAGGUUAAUACCCUGAUGUUUUGACGUUACCAACAGAACAAGCACCGGCUAACUCACUGCCAGCAGCCGCGGAAAUACAGAGGGUGCAAGCGUUAAUCGGAAUUACUGGGCGUAGAGCGCGCGUAGGUGGUUCAGUAAGAUGGGUGUGAAAUCACCGGGCUUAACCUGGGAACUGCUUUCAUAACUGCUGAGCUAGAGUACGGUAGAGGGUAGUGGAAUUUCCUGUGUAGCGGUGAAAUGCGUAGAUAUAGGAAGGAACACCAGUGGCGAAGGCGACUACCUGGACUGAUACUGACACUGAGGUGCGAAAGCGUGGGGAGCAAACA
rnacentral:rRNA from 1 species